rnacentral:rRNA from 1 species
UGGGGAAUAUUGCACAAUGGGCGCAAGCCUGAUGCAGCCAUGCCGCGUGUAUGAAGAAGGCCUUCGGGUUGUAAAGUACUUUCAGUCGGGAGGAAGGUGGUAAGGUUAAUAACCUUGGCAAUUGACGUUACCGACAGAAGAAGCACCGGCUAACUCCGUGCCAGCAGCCGCGGUAAUACGGAGGGUGCAAGCGUUAAUCGGAAUUACUGGGCGUAAAGCGCACGCAGGCGGUUGAUUGAGUCAGAUGUGAAAUCCCCGGGCUUAACCUGGGAACUGCAUUCGAAACUGGCAGGCUAGAGUAUUGUAGAGGGGGGUAGAAUUCCAGGUGUAGCGAUGAAAUGCGUAGAGAUCUGGAGGAAUACCGGUGGCGAAGGCGGCCCCCUGGACAAAGACUGACGCUCAGGUGCGAAAGCGUGGGGAGCAAACAGG